rnacentral:rRNA from 1 species
AUGUUUGGAAAAUCGUACAGGCAAAUUAAGAUGAACGACAUGCUCUUCACCCCCGGCCGCGGAAGCAGAUCACCAACCAACGCCGUCAUCACGCCCAGAUUUGAAUUGAAUUCUUCCGGAAGCAUCUCUCCCCUUGUCGCCAGUGGCCUCGGCGUGCGGGCCGACGGACCAACCCAAGCUCCCUCCCAUAAUCCCAACCCCCAAGCCAGAGAUAACAACCCCAGCGAGUCGGCGACAACCCUCCCUCCCGCUCCGACGUCGGAGAUGGGCACCCCCUCGUACCGGCUCGCGGCGGCGGUCACGGCCCCCCCGGGCGCCGAGGCCGAGUUCCUCCUCGUCCGGCAGCUGCCCCCGACGCCCCCGCUGGGGGUGGAGGAGGAGGGGGAGUACGGGCGCUACGUCGACAGCGACCUCUACGACCUCCCGUCGGCGCCCCUGCGGCGCCUCGCGGAUGGGGAGCCGGCCCGGCCGGGCGUGGCCCUCGCCGGCGCGGAGGCCGAGGGCUCCCUCGACCUCUCGCGCCUGGACGUCCCCGCCGCCCUCCACCAGAUUUUGAGCCAAUUGGGCCUGACAAACGCAAUGUGCGGGGAGUGGAGGCUCCUCAAGCAUAUUGUGGAGGCAGAGUUCGGCCCUGACGCGGGCGUCAACACGGUGCUCAUCAUCACGUCGCUCGAGUCGAAACCGGAGGCAUUGCCAGACUCCUGUAAAUGGAUGUCCAAGGAGGGUGCUCGGGAAUUGCUUUCUGACGUGAAGCCCGGUGGUACUCGAAUUGGGCCCUAUGUGCAUGUUGGAUUUGUUAAAUCGGAGCUAUCUUCAGAUUGUACAGCUGGCUCCACAUUGGUCUCCCAGGAGUACCCUCCCGGAAUAACCCUUGUACCAAUGAAGAGUAGUACCCUACGGCCUUUUCGCACAACUAAUCUCGUGGUAAUACAAGCAACCAGUGGUACAUGUGCAUCGAAGCGAUCUGAUUAUUUUGCUUGUGGAGAUGCUUUACUUAUAGAUCCUGGAUGUUGCUCACAGGUUCAUACAGAGCUUGCAGAUCUUGUCAAUUCCCUUCCAAAGAAGUUACUGGUCCUUGUUACGCAUCAUCAUAAUGAUCAUGUCGAGGGUCUUUCGGUUGUUCAGAGAUGCAAUCCUGAUGCUGUUCUUUUGACACAUGAAAACACGAUGAAGCGCAUAGGAAAAGGGAAUUGGUCAACCGGCAAUACUGCUGUGACUGGUGGUGAAAGCAUAUGCAUAGGUGACCAAGAACUGCAAGUCGUUUUUGCUCCUGGUCAUACAGAUGGUCAUAUGGGGCUUCUCCAUGUCAAUACCAAUGCACUAAUUGUCGGAGAUCAUUGUGUAGGGCAUGGAAGUGCAAUAUUGGACAAUAGAGCUGGUGGCAACAUGAAGGACUACUUCCAAACCACAUACAAAUUCUUGGAGAUGUCGCCACACGUGCUAAUUCCAAUGCAUGGAAGAAUCAACCUAUGGCCCAAGCAUAUGCUUUGUGGAUAUCUCAAGAAUCGAAAGGCUAGAGAAGCCUCCAUUCUGCAAUCCAUAGAGAAUGGUGCUCAAACUUUGUUUGAUAUAGUUUCGAAGACUUACUGUGAUGUAGACAGGAAAUUGUGGAUUCCUGCAUCCUUCAAUGUUCGCCUUCAUGUUGAUCAUCUGAACUCUCAACAUAAACUUCCCAAGGACUUCUCAACGGAAAAGUUUGAAUCGAGCUGCGGAACACAUUUCAUAUUUUGGUGGGGCGUAGCGUAUGCCCAAGCCAGGAGCUCACCCGCCCUCAUCAUCGCGGCAAGUGCCCUCGCCGCCGGUGGUCUGGCGAUCGCGUAUGCCCUCAGAAGGAAAAAUGGCAACCAGCCCUAG